ensembl:snoRNA
AUCCUUUCGUAGUUGCUAAGUGUGAUGACUGAGUUUUCCUGCUCAAGUGUGAGAUGUGGCCCUCUCCAGCCUCCCAUUGCAUUACCCACAUUCCCUGUCUUACG